CCCCCCCACUGACAUUGCUCCAUCCCAAGGAUAGAGCUAAGUAGACAGGAGCUGUUGGUUUGCAAGGAGUGUACCAGGUAACAUUGCUGCCCAGCUUGUUGAUACUUCCCAAAUCAACCUCUCGGGCAGGAUCUCCUCUCGUCUCUCCCUCGGUAUAAAAUUUAAACCACUGGAACUCAGAGGAGCAGAGCUAGGAGCUGAGCUAACCACCAGGAACGGGUGCAUCUGGUCAAGUAAGGAGCUGCCAAUCAUUUCAAGACCAGUCGGGUGCAGCCCAAAAAAGAAAAAAGAAAAAAACAGUCUCUUCUCAGCCUAGGAGGUGAGAGCCCAUUUUCCACAUCUGUAGCUGACGACUCUAGUCCUGGAGGGUCCUACCUGGGGACUGAGGAACCACCCUUAAGCCUGGAUUUCUGAGACAACGUGAACAAACCACAGCAGCUUCCAAGGCUCUAAAGACUUGAGUCGGCCCAUGUUCACCACAGCUCUACCCUUAAUAUCAAAGAGAUGCCACCAGUUCAAGGUCAGAGUCUAAUGGACCAUGAAAGAACAGCUUUCAGAUUCCCCAUUUCUCUAAACUGCAGAUCUGAUCAGCAUGGUUGGGAAUGAAUGGUCUGCACUUGUCACUGCCCUGGGUACCACCCUUCACAAUGCUCCCAUUGCAAACUGCUUACCUAAGGCUGGCAAGACAUGGCAUGAUCUGGACCGUCUUGCCACUCCAGUCUGUCUACACCUCCUGGCCUCACACUGUGGCCUGAAACCCAAUGCAGUUCUCCACUGGAGAGCCCACUUUCUGCCUCUACCCAAAACGCAGAGUAGGGAACCCUCUACUCACUCUUCAGACUCAGGCUUGACACAGCCCUGCACUUCCAGAACUGAGAUAGAGACCCUGUUGUAUGCACCUCAUUUUCCCCAUUAUAAUCUAUAUUUGCUUAUUGGCUGAAAGGUCACCGGAGGUGGGGGCAGUGUCUACCAGUUCAUUCCUUGAUUGGGUUCUAAACACAUAUUUCAGCAUCUGUGUUUCUCUCCCAUCCAGACCACUAAUAGUUUGCAAACCAGGACAAACUUGGACAAUACUCUGAGUAGCCAGUAGAGGUAGUCAUGAUGGCCCAAAACUCACUCCCUAACUGAGUAAAGGAGUGGCCCCUUACUCACUCCCACCCCAAACACACCUGGAAAACCAAUGAGUUUUGGAAAGAGAGAAUUAUGAAAUAGAUUCCCUUAUGCCAUAAGAUUUUGGGGGCCACAUAAGAACUGACAGCCAAGUGUUUCCCAUAGAGAGCUUUAGUAAGAAAUGAUGGGUGAGAGUAGGGACCUAUAUUUUUCAUGGGUGACCCAUAUGAUGAGUAUAAUUUGUCAGAUAGAGGUGUACCUUGGAGAUAUUGCAGGUCCACUUCCAGGCCACCACAAUAAAGUGAGUAUUGCAGUAAAAUGAGUCAAACAAAUGUUUUGGUUUUCCAGUGCAUAUAAAAGCUAUGUUUUCACUACUCUGCAGUCCACUCAGUGUCCAAUAGCAUUUUGGCUGAAAAAGAAAAAAAAAAAACACCCAAUCAACCAACCAAACAAAACAAAACAAUAUACCUACAUUAAUUAAAAAACUUUAUUGCUAAAAAUACUAGUCAUUAUCUAAUCCUUCAGUGAGUUACAGUUGUAACAUCAAAGAUCACAGAUCACGAUCACCCUAACAAAUAUAAUGAUAAG